rnacentral:rRNA from 1 species
AAUACGUUCCCGGGCUUGUACACACCGCCCGUCACACCACGAAAGUCGGCAACACCCGAAGCCGGUGGCCUAACCCGUAAGGGGAGGAGCCGUCGAAGGUGGGGUCGGUGAUUGGGGUGAAGUCGUAACAAGGUACCC